rnacentral:lncRNA from 1 species
AUUUCAACGACGUUUGUUACUUUGUUACAACAAAAGCGCUCUUUUAUCUCUUCUGGAUAAUAUUUAGGCCAAAUGAGAGACAGUCCUGCCCUGACAUGUACCUGAAGAUUUGUAAGAAGCACAAAAAAACAGGAGCAGAUAUGGAUACAUCUCCACCGAAACUUGACCAGGUUAAGCUCUUGGGACCUGGGCAGAGGGCAAAAGCACUCAAUCCCCUGGCUGUGUCCCGAGUGAGACGGACGUGGGACGGAUGUCUGUGAGAGAUAAGACAGAGAAACGGUGGACGAGAGAGAGGAUGCGGCACUGGCGUGUCUGAGAGAUUGAAUGUUCAAUAUGUUCACAUGCCUAUGAUGAUGAUGGUUUCUUCUGGUUUUUAAAUAAAACUUGAUCCUGUACGUCUGCUAAGGUGUUUUUCCUUUGGGGUGAGGGGUGCAGGAGAGGGUCGUCAUGCUAUUCGCUUUGUCUGGCUUAUCUGGUCACCACUGCAGCUCAUCUAUAAAUGACCUUUAUCGCAUUGGCAACACGAGGAAGGGCCGGGAUUAUCAGUUAUUCCCACACCGGUUUCUUUGGGUUGCAAUCAAGAAGUAUUUGAUUGAGAAUUGAUUCAUUUUUGAUUUAAAAAAAAUCUUGAAUUCAGGAAUCUUUUUUGAUUUCUACAAAGAUAUUCUCUUAAAUGAAAGUAAAUCGUACAACAGUUUUUUCUAAUGACGCC